UUUCACGUAACUUAAGAUCUUAUAUUUGGUUGUACUUGACUUUACAAUUCUGAAAAGCUGAUAAAUGCAGCCUUAAGCCGGAUCCAAACAAUGUGUAGCUUCAGCUUACCGUCUGGCUUUUAUUAGAAAACAUUCUGCCUUAAUCUAACUGGCGACGAGGAUUAACAAAUAAAAGAAGAAACCUACACAAGCACCACGUUUAAUCGAGCAUACAGAAUUUAAACGCUCAAAAUAUUUCAAAAGAAGAAGAAACCAGCAAGUACAUCCCGGGGUCUUCGGCUCUGGCGUUCAACCGCAGCCGCGUCAUCAUUAGUCAGCCAGCCCAGAUGUGUCAUACUUCCGUAUCAAAUUUAAAUUAAUUUGUGCAUUUCUCGAAUGCGAAUGCAAAGAAAAUA
rnacentral:sRNA from 1 species